rnacentral:rRNA from 1 species
AUGGAGUUUGUGUCAUCUCCACUGUUCAUUCUUGUUCGUCCAACACUCCAUCUCGUCGGUGUAAAGAAAUUUAAAAUUGCAGUUCCUUUUAUGAUGUUGGGAACCUCUUUACAAGUGCCGUUUUCCGCCGGCGUUAAUCUUUGGCACGCCCGCCUCAGUCAUCCCAGCUCCACCGCUCUUUGUCAAAUAGUGAGGGAUUUUUCUUUUUCAUGUAAUAAAACGGAUGCUCACUCUUGCCAAGCAUGUCGUAUGGGCAAACAUGUUAGACUUCCUUUUAGUUUUUCAUCCACAGUGGCGUCUUAUCCUUUCGAAUUAAUUCAUAGUGAUGUAUGGACAUCGCCUAUACCUAAUAAUUCUGGGUUUUUAUAUUGUCUUGUCAUUCUGGAUGAUUACUCUCACUUUGUGUUGACUUUUCCGCUUCGUAGGAAAUCAGAUGUUCCCGCCACACUCAUUGCAUUCUACUCCUACGUGUCUACUCAGUUUGGCCAUCCUAUACAUGCUCUUCAGACUGACAAUGCAUGGGAAAAAAUUCGAUAG